rnacentral:rRNA from 1 species
UGUGGACUUGGAUGUUGCCGUUUUAUCACGGCUCGUCUUAAAUGCCUGAGUGUACCCUGUUUUGCAGCGUAUCCAGUGUAAUAAACAUUUCACUAGAGUUGGUCGAAAGACCGCGUUGACUAUAUGGGCUCUAUGCUUCAAACCGUCUGCCAUGUGGACAAUUUCUUGACAAUUUGACCUCAAAUCGGGUGGGACUACCCGCUGAACUUAAGCAUAUCAAUAAGCGGAGGAAAAGAAACUAACAAGGAUUCCCCUAGUAACGGCGAGUGAAGAGGGAAAAGCUCAAAUUUUAAAUCUGGUGUCUUUGACUCCCGAGUUGUAAUCUAGAGAAGUGUUUUCCGUGUCGGACCGUGUACAAGUUCCCUGGAACGGGGCGUCAUAGAGGGUGAGAAUCCCGUAUAUGCCACGGACUACCGAUGCUCUGUGAUACACUCUCAACGAGUCGAGUUGUUUGGGAAUGCAGCUCAAAAUGGGUGGUAAAUUCCAUCUAAAGCUAAAUAUUGGCGAGAGACCGAUAGCGAACAAGUACCGUGAGGGAAAGAUGAAAAGCACUUUGGAAAGAGAGUGAAACAGUACGUGAAAUUGUUGAAAGGGAAGCGUUUGAAGUCAGUCGCAUCUGUUGGGGUUCAGCCUGGCUUUUGCCUGGUGUAUUUCCUUUCCGAUGGGUCAGCAUCAGUUUCGACCGAGGGAAAAAGACAUUUGGAAUGUGGCUGUCUUCGGGCAGUGUUAUAGCCUUGUGUUGUAUGUCUCGGUUGGGACUGAGGAUUGCAGCGCGCCAUAAAUGGCCGGGGGUCGCUCCUCUCGACACGC